UACAGAGGUCUCGAGCGUUGUUCGGAUUCAUUGGGCGUAAAGGGUGCGUAGGUGGCGCUGUAAGUCGGGUGUGAAAUCCUGGGGCUUAACCCCGGAACUGCAUUCGAUACUGCAGUGCUUGAGGACUGGAGAGGAGACUGGAAUUCAUGGUGUAGCGGUGAAAUGCGCAGAUAUCAGGAGGAACACCGGUGGCGAAGGCGGGUCUCUGGGCAGUAACUGACGCUGAGGAGCGAAAGCGUGGGGAGCAAACAGG
rnacentral:rRNA from 1 species